GAUGAACGCUGACAGCAUGCUUAACACAUCAGCAAUUGAUUGGUGGCGGACGGGUGAGUAACGCGUAAAGAACUUGCAUCACAGCUAGGGACAACAUUUGGAAACGAAUGCUAAUACCUAAUACUGUGAGAGAGCUUUGCGUCCAAUUAGCUAGUUGGAGAGGUAACGGCUCACCAAGGCGAUGAUGGGUAGCCGGCCUGAGAGGGUGAUCGGCCACAUGGGGCCUGGGACACGGCACGUACUCCUUCGGGAGGCAGUAGUGGGGAAUAUUGGACAAUGGACCAAAGUCUGAUCCAGGAAUUCGGUGUGUACGAUGAAGUUUUCGGAAUGUAAAGUGCUUUCAGUUGGGAAGCGGUACCAACAGAAGAAGUGACGGCUAAAUACGUGCCAGCAGCCGCGGUAAUAC
rnacentral:rRNA from 1 species